CCCAGAACCCCCAUAAUCCCUUGCUGGGUCACACGGAUUAAGGACUUGUCCAGAAGAUGAGAUACAGUGCUUGCUGGCACACGUCACUGUCAACACUCACACACACACACACACACUUACACACAAAUAAUGUUUAGUGGACUCAGGCCCAAACCGCCGACUCGAGUUGCAUUCCAGAGACGUCAGAAAGUCGGAAAUCUCAGCUCUUCGUCUUUCCCGAUUGAAAUCCCGAGAAGGAUUUCUCGAACCUGGUUACCUCACAAAUGACCGUCACUAUCUUUUUGUGUUCGUCUAUUAGAUUAGAUUAAAUUAUACAUCAGAAAUAUUCGUACUUUUCUGUUUUUAUUAGAUUAGCAGAGCCAGUAGUCGUAUAUUAGCGUUCUUCGUAACGGUUAAUGGUUAACAGUUAGUAUUUUUAAAUAAAUGUUCAUUAAUGUGAUCUGUGUACGAAGAAACCAUAUGAGGUCAAAAACAUACAAGCUUUGGUAUCGCCAACAUUUAUAGGAUGUAUUCUCUGCAGAUCAACUUAAGUUGCAUUCCAGAUACGUCAGAAAAUCGGAAAUCUCAACUCUUCGUCUUUUCCGAUUAGAACCCCGAAAAGGAUUUUUCGAACCUGGUUACCUCGCAAAUGUCCGUCACUAUCUUUUUCUGGUUGGCUGUUAGAUUAGAUGAAAUUAUAUAUCAGAAAUAUUCGUACUUUUCUGUUUUUAUUAUACGAGCAGAGGCAGAAGUUGUAUAUUAGCGUUCUUUGUAACGGUUAACAGCUUGUAUUUUUGAAUAAAUGUUCGUUAGUGUGAUCUGUUCAUGAAGAAACCAUCUGAGGUUAAAAACAUACAAGCUUUGGUAUCACCAACAAUGAUAGGAUUUUUUCUCUACUUGUGUGAACGUCACCAAUGUGCUAAAAGAGGAUCUAGUGAGGUACAAAUCUGUAGAGUUUUAUAUUUUAUGAAUGAAUGAGUCAAUCAUUUUGCUUUAUCAAACAUCCUUUCAGCCAUGAGGAGAAAUUUAGAGUAGGAAAAAAGGAGUUACACUCAUGUAAACAGCCUUAAGUAUGAACUUAAACAUCAAGUUAGUGUGUGAGCAACCUCAAUGUUUCUGAAACUUCCUUAUGUUCACAAUUGACCUCCCGGCUUCGCUCAAUCUUGUGCCAUCUUGAGCGAUUUUGAACCAAUUUCUGAGCUCCAGAAAAAGCAACUUUCUUAUCUGCCUCAACAAAUCCUGGCGCCCAUUAAAGGGAAAGCCAUGAGUCCCCCGUUGAAUGCCUGUCUUCCCUCAUUACCGUGAAACAGAGAAGAGAAAGUGGAGCUCAAAUGGGGUCGUCCAAAAGUAAUGAGGACGUUGCAGCUCUUUUCUGUCAUCAGAUUUGGAGUUAACGGGAGAAAGAAUGGAAGAGAAAGGAGGACGCAGCAGUCUCUGGACGCCUCUGCAAACAAAGCUAUAAGUGGCUUUAAAACGUUUUAAACUCAUAUUAAGUGAUUUCCAUAUCAAGCAGAUCCCCUCAUGAACAUCAGAGUGAAUCUGUCUCUCCUGCUCGGAUCUUCAGCGAUGCUAUCAGUUCCUCGAAAACUGCUCAUGCUGCCUCGUAACAGCUUGAGCCAGAAACCAAAAUUAUCAUACAGCCACGAGGAGGGACUGACUGCGAGAAAUCGUGUCAGGGAAGAAUCAGAAGAAUGAUUUCUACUCCUACGAGCGGCUCAGCUGAAGGCGAGAGCUGUUGACAUGAAGCCAGUGUGUUUAAAGCUUUCUGUGCUGCUGCCUGAGAGCGUCAGAGACCGAGUUAUCUGGUGGACAGUUUUGAGUGGAGUGUAAAUAAGUAAGUCGUCCCCUGUGAGGAGAAGCAAUCUGCAACAAGAUGCAUCAUGCACCAUGUGUUUUGUAAAAAUUAGCGUCUCGGUGAAGCGGAAAGUCUUAAUUUAGCUCUGUCAGGCUAGUGUGGUUGUUAAGUCAUCACUUAAGUUGGACUAAAAUAUCUCAAGUUACUGAAUAAUUAACGUGAAACCUUCUACCUUCAUUUGUUGUCACCAGAGGGUGAAUCCUAGCAAGAUUUCCAUCAGCAAGAAAAUGAGGUAAUACCUUCCGAAACUACUUGAUUUUUGCUAAAAUGAUGCUAAUGACGUUAGCAUUUGCCCCUGCUGUACUUUUGUUUUAAUGCUAAUCAACAAAUCUGAACAUGCCAACAAGCAAAACUGUCUCAUUUGCUCGGUAUUCAUCUUCACAACCUGUGUGGACCAUUCACGCUGAACUCAAAUCAGACAGUCUGGUUUUAAUAGGACUUCCUGUUUGCGUCAGAAGCUAACCCUACCCUAGAACUUGCAUUGCAAAUGCUGCGUUCGAGUUGUCCUCGGAAAUCAGGAUUUCAGAGUUCCGAGUCAGAAAUUCAUCUUGAAUGCCCCACUGAAGUCAGAUUUCAGACUCAGAAAAUCGGACAAUACAGGCCAACCCCGACUUGACGACAACGUCAUAAUUCAAGAUGGCAGUGCAGUGCAUCAACAGUAAAGAGUAACAGUAAAAGCUCUCAUUAUGUAUUAUUUAUUUAGCAUUUCUGUUUUGUUUUUGUGAAAUUAAAUAAGUGGUAUUCGUUGUGCUGCCCAACAUUUUACUGUGAACGCGGUGGUGUUCGUAAGAGUAAAAUACUGUGUUGUGCGUUGUUUACAACGGGUAUCACUAACAACCGCUGACAACGGCUAACAACAGCUGACAAUUGUAACUGUAGGCGUCACUUGGUUUUCUGACUUGUUAACUGGAACGCUGUCAACUCGGGUGUAGCGUCAUUCCCAGCUACGACAUCCGACUUCCGAGGUAACUGGAGCGCAGCAUAACCCCGCCCUUUAACUUGCAUCUCAGAGCCCUCAUCACAUAGAAGAAGGUAGCCAGGUAGCAUCAUGUAACUUCACCACCUUUAUCGUGGUUACAGAGAUCAUUUUAACAGCCAAGGGGUCUGUUUUUUAACAUUUGCAUUGCUAGCUAUUCUACUGAUUUGCUAAGAUUCAACGGUUUGCUGCUUAGCCACUUGAGAGUUCACCAUUUUUAUUGAAUUGACAUUCAGAAAAUUGUCAAGGAUGUCUAGAUAGGGAUACAAAAGACGUCUUAAAGAGAUUUUGAAUCCUUUUUGAAAGAUUUUAGUUUUAUUGUCGUUGGAAAGUAAGCUGCCUUUCAAACAUCUUAAGAUACUCGUGUUUAACAUCAGUCCUUGAAGCCUAGACUUCUUUUUUACUUCUUUUUAGUGGUGAGAAUUAAAGCAAAAUAAAAUGUCACUUUCAUAAUUUCAUGACAAAGAUGUACAGACAAGCUCUUCUUCAGUUUAAAUCCUUAAUAUUGUCUCCUUAGUCUUUUCCCUCAUCCCCCCGUGAUCCUCAGCCUCACAACAGGCUUCGCAUUGACCUUUUAACUGUCUUCCUGUCACACUGCUCGAGACCAUUAAGCAUCUCUGUUGUGGAGCUCUGAGCUCUGAUCCCGCAGGUUGACCUCACUGUAACCCCUCUUUCUGUUGUCCUGAGCCUUGGUAAAUCACUGCUGACUGCUGAGAGCUGCUUGUGUCUGUGUCCGUCUGGCCUCCGGGUCAUGAAUAAGCGACACUACAGAGGUGUGGGAGUUAUCCUCAUCUAACAUUCGAUUUUCCCCGCUGCUUUGAUUGACUGUCGCUAAGAGAAGCAAUUAAAUAUCAGUGAAAUCACAACACUGACUUUGCUUUGUUGGAUUUCUUUAAAGCUCCUGUGAGGAGUUUUUAUCUGGUUAUGAAGCAGAAUGAAAUUGAUGAUGAUGUCUCUUUAUAUCUUACAAAAGCAAAUAUGACCAAAAGCGUAGGUGUCAGACGGCUUGUUUACGUUUUCUACAGCAAAGAUUUUCACUGAAUAUUAAAUGUUAAAUGUUCUUCCUUGAGCUGCGUCACCCCGCUGCAAUCAAUAGACUGGCCCGAGGACUUGCUACAAAUAAGCGGCUGCUGGAAGAGAGUAGGUGAGUUGUGUUUAGUCUCUUUGCUAAAGAAAUUAGGCAAAGUUUAAAAGAUGUUUGGUGGCUAGUUCUAUGUCUGUGACCCUAUAUGUCCUGUUGAUGAAGUUAGGUGCUGUUCUGAGUAUUAUUUGUGGCUAUAGAAUGGCGUUUUGGUUGAGCGCGUGGCUCUCUGUAUUGCUAUCCUGCGGUCGUUACUAAAGUUGGUAUAACUAGAGAAGCAAGCAGUCGGCAACAUUUAUCUCUCAACAGGGUGUCUAACUCUGUGUUACGGUGUGUUUGACCCGAACUUAAUUUUACGCCGAAAUAUCCCUUUAAGGUAUUAUUUUGUCUUAAACCACGACUUAGACAAGUACAGGACAAAAACAAACAGGAAUGACCAGCAAAACUUUUUCUAUGAGGUGGUACCAACAUUGGCAGACCAAAAAGUUACUGAUAGGACCUUUAAGUCUGAGGUGUUUAAAUGUUUUAUGCUUAACAUAUUUGUUUUUUAUGUUAGAAUGUUGUCAAUUUGAUGUUAAAAUUUAUGAAUAAAUUUAAAGUAUCUUAAAAAUGUCUGACAGUGCUUUCUCAACACUGAUAUUAUACCAAAAAUAUGCGUAAAAUCUUGUUUUGUAGCUAAUUUCUUCAUCUUGUUUGUAUUUUUUUUGCAUUAUUUCAGUGGGUUAACAGACAAAAGGCCUAAUAAGCUCAAUUGUCAGUAUGUUACAGCUCUAAUUGUUGAAUUGUAUAAUGCGUAAACUUACAGCAAACUACUGGCUACCUUGUGUCGUCAAUCUCAGAUAGAUAUAUCCAACAGUAUGCCGCCAUGUACCCAUAAUAUAAUAUCCAAUUUAAUGUCAAAUGCACGUGUUUUGCACUGAUAACAUUUCACCUUUUGUUUAACAGAGGAAGAUGGAUGGACCUCUUAUUCUUGUGCUUGUAAAAGAGGCAUUAUGUGAGUUUGCAGAGCAGGCAGGGCGUAACAACAC